UUGGGAAUCUUGCGCAAUGGGCGAAAGCCUGACGCAGCGACGCCGCGUGCGGGAUGACGAGCUUCGGCUUGUAAACCGCUUUUCUCGGGGACGACACUCUGACGGUACCCGAGGAAUCAGCCCCGGCUAACUCCGUGCCAGCAGCCGCGGUAAGACGGAGGGGGCGAGCGUUGUCCGGAAUUACUGGGCGUAAAGGGCGCGUAGGCGGUCGCGUACGGCGGUGGUGAAAGCUCCCGGCUCAACUGGGAGAGGUCCGCCGCAACGGCGUGACUCGAGGGUGGUAGAGGCGGAUGGAAUUCCCGGUGUAACGGUGAAAUGUGUAGAGAUCGGGAGGAACACCCGUGGCGAAGGCGGUCCGCUGGGCCAUGCCUGACGCUGAGGCGCGAAAGCCAGGGGAGCGAACGGG
rnacentral:rRNA from 1 species